rnacentral:piRNA from 1 species
GCCCUGAGAUUCAAGUGGAAGGUGGGUUGU